rnacentral:rRNA from 1 species
GACAGAGCGCACGAGCGUUAUUCGUCGUGAUUUGGUGUAAAGGGUACGUAGGCGGCUAUUGUAAUUUUUGGCGUAAAGCGCGGAGAGUUCCUACGCAAUUGCCGAUUAAAGACGUAGACUGAAUUGAUGAGAGGUUGGGGUAAUGCUUGGUGUAUGAGUCAAAUGGUUCGAUAUUGAGUGGAACACUAAGUAGCGAAGGCACCUUUCUGGCAUCAAUUGGCGCUGAGGUACGAAAGCUCAGGGAGCAAAUGGG